AUCUAGCUGACGAGUACCAAAUAGAACGAAACGCGUGUCCUGGAU
rnacentral:hammerhead_ribozyme from 1 species